rnacentral:lncRNA from 1 species
GAACAGAGAGAAAAAAAGAGUCAGGUUUUGUAAUGGCUUUGCUUGGAGUUUCAGUUGCAUGAACAGCAGGGCCUGGACUGAGGCUGCUGUGACUGCCUAGGGCGCCUCCUGACACAGGCUGGGUCCUGAUCCCAGCCUGCCAGAGCCCUCCUGGUGACUGGAAGAAUAGAGCAUCUGGACAUCAGGAAGAUAAGAAAGUUGGGAAGGCAGCUGGGUCUUCAGGAAAAAGCUUCUCUUCUUAGCAACCAAACCCCAUCACAUGAGGUUAGUAAAUAUUCCUUUUCUUUAGGUAUAUAACUGAUAAAUUGGACAUAUUAACAUC